ACCUGAGUGGCUUAGUUGGUUAAAGCAUCUGACUUCGGCUCAGGUAGCGAUCUCAGGGU
rnacentral:tRNA from 1 species